GGACGGGUGAGUAAUGUCUGGGAAACUGCCUGAUGGAGGGGGAUAACUACUGGAAACGGUAGCUAAUACCGCAUAACGUCGCAAGACCAAAGAGGGGGACCUUAGGGCCUCUUGCCAUCGGAUGUGCCCAGAUGGGAUUAGCUAGUAGGUGGGGUAAAGGCUCACCUAGGCGACGAUCCCUAGCUGGUCUGAGAGGAUGACCAGCCACACUGGAACUGAGACACGGUCCAG
rnacentral:rRNA from 1 species